GACGAACGCUGGCGGCGUGCUUAACACAUGCAAGUCGAACGGAAAGGCCCUGCUUUUGUGGGGUGCUCGAGUGGCGAACGGGUGAGUAACACGUGAGUAACCUGCCCUUGACUUUGGGAUAACUUCAGGAAACUGGGGCUAAUACCGGAUAGGAGCUCCUGCUGCAUGGUGGGGGUUGGAAAGUUUCGGCGGUUGGGGAUGGACUCGCGGCUUAUCAGCUUGUUGGUGGGGUAGUGGCUUACCAAGGCUUUGACGGGUAGCCGGCCUGAGAGGGUGACCGGCCACAUUGGGACUGAGAUACGGCCCAGCCUCCUACGGGAGGCAGCAGUGGGGAAUAUUGCACAAUGGGCGGAAGCCUGAUGCAGCAACGCCGCGUGCGGGAUGACGGCCUUCGGGUUGUAAACCGCUUUCGCCUGUGACGAAGCGCGAGUGACGGUAAUGGGUAAAGAAGCACCGGCUAACUACGUG
rnacentral:rRNA from 1 species